rnacentral:lncRNA from 1 species
AAGGUUAUAAUUUCACAUGUUUGUUGUUAUUUUUUAGGGUUACUCGGUAGGUAUAUUUUGAUAAGGUUUAUGCGUAUUUUUCUAUUUUCUUGAAAUUACAGCCACUUCCUUUGAUUGCUCACCGCUCCAAACAUCUUCAUAUAUUUUGAUUAGUUUUUCGUUUUGUCUGCAGAUGAGCUUCAAUUUAAUCGUUUCCUUACUCCUCAAGGAUCUGUCCUUUCUUCAUUCUUUCUUCAUGGGUUGAAAGCAAAAGGGGGAUACUGCCUCGUAUGUUACUAAAAAGGUAAAUUUGAACUCCAAAUUAAAACUCUAUUAUAUUUUGUUUGUGUAAAUAAAUGUUAAUCUGGAAUCGAGGUAUAGGGCUUGAACCCUAAUUUCAUUUCUUCCUAUUAUGAGCUCUCUCUUUUGAAAGUUUUUUAAUCUAUCGAUGUUAGUUCUUCUAUUCUCUACACCAUUUUGAAUACGUUUUACAUGAAGAAGUUAUCAUGAGGAAAUUGUUGUUGUAAGAUGUACAAAUCAUGUUAGCAAUCACGUUUUCAAAGUAUUCAUCACUAGGCGGAACUUAAACAUGAGGAAACAGGAUAUUCUAACAAGUAUGUUAAGACCUCAACCUGAUGACGAUGAAUCUAAUUUCAACUCUUGAAUUGAGAUACAUCCACAUGGUGGAGACCGGAGAGGCGUUGGGUUUAAACCUUCCCCCCAGCUCAACACUUCCUACCUACUACCCUUCUCUGUUGAUUUCUUUCUAAUUUGUUCAUUGCAGAACACUUUAUGGGUUUUCAUCAAAUUAGUUUUCAAAGUAUCAUUUGUUACUGAGGUUGAGUUUUUGUUUGAUAGGUUUUGCAGCAGAGUCAACUCAGGGGUUGUGGGUGACAAUCAAUUAUAUGGGUAUUACGCAUCAUCUUUAUAGUGGAAGAUUGGAGCAGGCCGCACUUGACAUGUAAAGCUACUAGAACACUAAUUAAGUCUCACAUCCUUCAUUCUUUCAGUGGAGAAGGUGGGUAAUGUUUAAUGGUCUUCUUUUGGAUUGGCAACCCUAACAGAUUCGAUUGAAGGUGAGGUUGAUUCUGCAUCCUACUUUUUUCUUCUCCAACAUGGAUUAGUUGAAGAUGAGUUUAUUUUUUAAAAGUAGAAGAGAUUGAAGGGUUUUCUAAACUAAUUGAAGACAACUUACAUUUUUUCACAGGUUGAUGUUACAAAGAAUUUGAUUAAAGGUUUCCGAUUUGUGAUUAGGUAAUAUGGUUUUUAUUUUCUGGAUUUUUUGUAUUUUUGAUUGAUAAAUGGUCAACUAAAAUCCUUUAACAAAUCUCCUUCAUUUUGUUUUAACUGUUUGAUAGCAAUGCUCAUCAAGGCUAUGAUUUACGACAAAGCUGGUCAUGAAAGAUGUAUCUUUUUUCCUCUUGUUUUUAGUUUUUUUGUUUAGGUUUCCUUAAAAAAAAUUCAUCCAUUAGUCUAUCAGUCUCUUCUUUUUUAUUAACUUUAAAUUUUGAAUUUUUUGACACUUUUUCUCCAAAUUACAACUAAGAAGAAUCAUCGUUGGACAUUAUUGAUUUGAAAUUUCAAUUUAUCAUGAUCAAAUUAACAUGGAACUUAAUUGGAUCGGGAACAAGUUAGAUUUCAACAAAAAAAAAAUAGUAAAUUUCAUUUUAGUAAAUUCCAUUUAAGUUUUCCAUAAAAAUAGUUUUUUUUUAAUUUUUUAAUUUUUUUAAUUAUGUAUGUAAUGUAGUGUUCAUGGGGGCAGCAAGCUGAUUCUACUGGGAAUGGGCUCAAACGAACCUUCCACCACCUGGUCCCAUACCAAUGCUAUCAAUGAACACCAAUUGGAAAUGAGCAAGAUGGUUUUAGUAAAGAAGAGGUAAUAGUAAAUGGCUAAUCACAAGAAAUAGCAAUAUACUGUCAUUUACAUCAUUCAAAUAGCN